GAAACUCUCGCCUUUUGUCCUCCUAUCUCACAGUUUACCCCCUCAGCUCUCGCUCUUCCUCUCUCUGCGUUGUUGGAUGCCAAACGUCUCAGGGUGACGGCUGGGGAAUAAGGAGGGGUGGUUGGUGGUGGCAAACGUUGGGUGUAAAGUAUGUGUGUUUGACAGCAUUCCUCUUCCUCUGAGCGUGUGCAGAAGGUGAAGACUUUGAAAAGAGAAGCUCCAAGAACUGGAGAUUAUAGAAGCAGACUGGAGAGGAGGAUGUGGGUCAAUGCAGUCUGAAUGGAAAACACUAAGGCCAUCGUCCUUCACAUCCCUCUUCUUUACCUGAACCCGUGAAACGAGACGACCCUGUUGAUCCACGAUGGCUGUCAUUAGAGCGUUGCUGCUGCUGGUGGUGAUGUCGGUCUGCAGGGGGAGUCUGGUUGUGGUGAACUCAGGUAUGGAGGUCUCCAGAGGUGGAUCAGUGUUUAUCACAGACCAGGAGUUGAAGAUCAGCACGGGUACAGAAGCAGACUGUAAGGUAGAGGUGGUGAUGAACGAACCUGUCACACAGAGAGUGGGGAGGCUGACCCCACAGGUGUUUGACUGCAGCUUCCUGGAGGAUGAGGUGAAAUACGUCCACAGUGGGAGUCCUCUGCAGGAUGAGGACACGGUGAUGCUGAGAGUUUACAGAUUCACGUCCUCAGACACACAGGUGGAGACGGUGCUCCUGCCCGUGCGGGUGGUGGACUCAGAGUCCAGUGUGGUGGAGCUGGGCAGCACCCCUCUGGUAGUUCCUCAGUUUUAUAGUUUAUCCAAUGCCAUCAACGGCUCCGUCCUGCACAUUAAGACCACAGGCGACGUUGUCUGCAUUGUCAGACUGAUGAACACCGACACUGGCGUCCCUGCUCUGGGUCAGCUGGUGAGGGAGGAAGACUCCACGCAGAGGAAGGGCAGAGAGACAGCAGUGAUCUGUCCAGGAAACAAACCCUGUCUCCACAACACCAAGGAGGUUCAGUUCCUGAAAACCAGUUGUCAGGACUUCCUGAGCUCCGGUCUGAAGUACCAGCACCUGAGCCCUCCAUCACCUGAGAUCGACUACAUCCCCAUCAGGGUGGAGCUGAGGGAGCAGGCCACCAGGGCCCUGCUGGAGACUCAGUCUAUAUGGCUGCCAGUUCUCAUCCACGGAGCGAUGCAGAACCAGCCGCCCCAGGCCGCCUUCAUGGCCUCCUUCAUCCUAGAGGUGGACCAGUUCAUCCUCACCCCGCUCACCACUGCCGCUCUUGACGCCAAAGACCAUGAGACACCACAGGAGAGACUGGUUUUCAAUGUGACCGCCCCGCCUGCUGAAGGCUACAUCACCCACCUGGAUGACCACACUAAGCCCAUCACAUCUUUCACCUGGCAGGACCUCCACGAGAUGAAGGUGGCCUACCAGCCGCCUAACAGCAGCAAAUCACAGCGCAGGAACUAUGAGGUGGAGUUUCAGGCUAUAGACGGCUCCUUUGUGACCAGCCCACCCAUCAUAGUCCACAUCUCUAUCAGGGCAGCGGAAACAAACGCACCCAGAGUGUCCUGGAACAUGGGUCUGGACCUGUUGGAGGGUCAAUCCCGACCAAUCACGUGGGAGGAGCUGCAGAUAGUCGACAACGACAACAUUAACGCAGUGUUCCUAGUGGCCGUGGAUGGACCCCUUCAUGGACGCCUCAGUGUCAGAGGUGGGAAAGCGUUCAUGUUCCGCGUGCGCGACCUAAAGGAGGGUGUGGUCGUCUACCAUCACUCUGACAGCGACACCACCCGUGACCACAUAGUCUUCCGCAUCAGUGAUGGACGCCACAGCAUCCGUCAUAAGUUUCCCAUCAACAUCCUGCCCAAGGACGACUCGCCGCCUUUCCUCAUAAACAAUGUUGCAGUGGAGGUACAGGAGGGCGGAGCUGUACGGCUGGAGGAGUACAUGCUUUUAGCCUCUGACCUGGACUCCAGCGACGACUACAUCCUCUACCAGGUGGAGUCAAAACCUCGGGCAGGGCAGCUGGUGAAGAAGAUCUCUGCUCAAGAGACAGGAGCUCCAGUGGACAAUUUCCUGCAGAGAGAUCUGAUCCAGGGUCAGAUCUACUACCAGCACUCAGGAGACGAGACGUUUGAGGACUCCUUUGAAAUCACGCUGUCUGACAGUCAUCAGCCGCCAAACCUCUCCCAGACAUAUACGGUGGUGGUGCACGUCUUCCCGGUGAAGGACCAGCUGCCGGUUGAGGUAUCAGGCAGCGUUCGCUCUCUGACGGUGAAGGAGACGGAGGUGGUUUAUGUCACUCAGGCUCACCUGCACUUCACAGACAGAGAACACCCAGAUACAGACCUUACCUACGUCAUCACACAGCCCUGCUUCAGCCCAGUGCAUCCUGGACUGAUGGACGCAGGACGUUUAUUCUACACAGACAGCACCAACGCCAUGAAGAAGGACCACAUGGUGCCCGUGUUAAAGUCCUUCACACAGCAUGCAGUAAAUCACAUGAAAGUGGCCUUCAUGCCUCCUGUGGAAGACAUUGGCCCUGAUCCACUGUUCGUCGAGUUUGUCUUCUCCGUCAGCGAUCACCACGGAGGCACUGUUAGCGACCUCCUCUUCAACAUCACAGUCACCCCUGUUGACAAUCAGGCUCCAGAGGCAUUCAGUAACCUGCUGCGGGUGGAGGAAGGGGGAGGGGCCUUUGUGACGGAGGAGCACCUCCUCGUUCAGGACCGGGACAGCCGGGAGGAGGCGCUGAGGGUGGAGGUGCAGAAGACGGCUCGCCACGGCAGGCUGGAGCUGCAGGGCCACACGCUGCUGCAGGGAGACAGAUUCAGCUUGCAGGAUCUGAGAGGACUCCGGCUCAGAUACAUCCACGAUGACUCAGAGACGACGGAGGAUGAAGUCAGUCUGAAGGUGACAGACGGUCUGAACUCAGCAGAUGUCGUUCUGCUCAUACAGGUGCUGCCCAUGAACGAUGAGCCUCCACAGCUGGGUGGAGGUCUGCGUGGGGAGCUGAGCUGUCAGGAGGGGGGUCGAGUCCAGGUUACGGUGGACUACCUGUCUGCCACAGACCGGGACAGCGAGGACUCCAGGCUGACCUACAUGCUGGCUCGGAGUCCGGGAAGAGGGGAGCUGCAGAGAGCUGGACUUAGUGUGGACAAGUUCUCCCAGCAGGACCUGCUGCAGGGACACGUCUACUACGUCCACACAGGAGGAGAGAUUGGGCCUGAUCCAGUUUUUGACACUGUCACUCUCAUCAUCUCUGACGGGGAGGCUGGAGGGACAGACAGCUGUUGCCACGGGGAUGCCCCGCCUCCUCCUGUGCCUCUGCACGGCACACUACCUGUGUAUGACCUCAACGUCACCAUUCUUCCUGUCAACAGCCAAGUGCCCACAAUCACCCUGGGUGACUCCAUGUUUGUGGUGGAUGAGGGGUCCUCAGCCUGUCUCUGUGGGGGGGUCCUGGGGGCCUUGGACCCUGACAGCCCCCCUGAUCAACUAACCUUUCACCUGGAAACCCUUCCUCUGCAUGGCUUCCUGGAGAACACGCUGCCGACGCCCGGGUCAGAGAAGAGCAACGCGGGAGUCCAAGUCGAAUCCUUCAGUCUCGUCCACCUGACAUCUGGUUUCAUUAACUACGUUCAGUCAGAAAGCAAAGGGGUAGAGCCAUCCGUUGACCAACUGACCAUCAGUGUGAGUGACGGGCUGCAUCACUCUGCUUCUAUUCCCUUUUACAUCAUCAUUAAUCCGACCAAUGAUGAGAAGCCUUCUCUGCUGCUCGCCAACUUCACUGUCAAAGAGGGUGGGAUAAGGGAGCUGACCCCCUCCGUGCUGGACGGGUUUGACCUGGACGCCCCUCCAGAUAUCCUAACCUUCACGGUGGUGCAGCCGCCAGCUCACGGCACCCUGAUAAAUGGAAUCUACGGCACUGAGAUGAGCCGCUACAAGGAAAUGGGAGCAGACCUCCUGCAGAGGAGCCUCCCCGUCACCUCCUUCACUCUGCAGGAGCUCCGACAAGGCAUGAAGAUCGUGUACAUGCACGACGACACAGAAACCCUGAAGGACGCUGUGGCUCUGCAGCUGACAGAUGGUGUCCACACGGUGCGGGGGACGGCUCAGGUCACCGUGCUGCCGGUCAACGAUGAGAAGCCUCGACUGCUUAAGAAUUCCGGCUUGCAAGUGGACUCGGGUGAGCGCAGGGUGAUCUCCAGUGUUGUUCUGGAGGCCGAGGACCUGGACACGUCCCAAAACCAGGUGUACUACUUUAUCAAUGCUGGACCUCGUUUUGGAAAACUGCAACUCAAGACAGAGUCUGGUUGGAGUGAGCUAUCGGCCGGUCAGAACUUCACUCAGGACGACGUAGAGAUGAACCGUCUCUGGUACACACACACCACCGCCACCAACGCCGAUGGGUUCAAAGGUCACGACAGCUUCCGCUUCACCCUCAGCGACCUGGACAACGAGAGCCCUGCACAGAGCUUCUUCAUCUCUGUCCACACAGUGCAGAAAGGUGACUUAGUGCUGCAGAGCAAAGCGGUGCAUCUGUCCGAGGGUCAGCGAGUCGUUCUAAACACCAACAUCCUGCUGGCGUCGGACUCCUCAGGUCGCCCUGAGGAGCUGAUGUACACUGUGUCCAUCCCGCCUCGACAUGGAGUCAUCCACGCUGUCCAUCAGCCUGGAGUCCCGCUGGUCACCUUCACACAGCUUGACGUUGCGGCACACCGAGUGUGCUACACACAUGAUAACAGCCACCAUGCAGAGACCGACUCCUUCAGUUUUGUCGUCACAAAUGGCGACUCGUCCCGCAGCGGCACCCUCCACUUCACCAUCGAACAUGGCGACCGUAUCCCACCAACCCUCGACCGCAGCACAGGCCUACAGCUCCAGGACGGCUCCACGCAAACCAUCACUGCCGAACACCUGCAGCUCACUGACCCUGACACCUCCGCCACCAACCUGAGCUUCAUCGUCACGCAGCCGCCAAGGUACGGUAAACUGCUGCUGGGAGGAGUCCUGCUGUCACCGCCACUCAGAUUUACGCAGACAGACGUGGACGAGCUGAAGCUGGCGUACAGACACGACCCGAGCAGCCCUGCAGAGAUUGACAGGUUCUACUUCCACCCAACGGACGGGAGCAACAGAGGAUACCUUGAGUUUGGACAGCUGAGGGAGGAGCCGGCGGUCUUUAACAUACAGGUCCAACGUGUGGACAGAACGCCCCCCAGUCUGACCACCAGGAGGACCCCCAGUACCGUGGUGGACUUGGGCGGGGGACGUUAUGGCGUCUUUAUCAGCUCCAAACACCUGCAGGCCUCUGAUCCUGACUCCCCCAAUGAGGAGCUGGAGUUCUCCAUCACCAGACCUCCUCAUUUUGGCUACCUGGAGAAUGGUCUCACAGGAGCCUACAUCAAAGGCCGUUUUACCCAGCGAGAUGUAGACCAGCGUGCCGUCGUGUUUGUCCUCCCCGCGGACAUGGAGGUGACGGCGGACAGCUUUGAGUUCCGCCUCAUCGACCCAGCAGGAAACACAGCACUGCCCGAGAUUACAUGAAGGAUUCAGCUGAGUGUCUCCUGCAGACUGGAUCUGUCCUGGUCUCGGGUUGAGCUGUCGGCGACCUGCUACAGGACCUGUGAGACGGCGGGGACGCUGCAGAUUCAGAUCCAACGCAGCGGAAAGAGUGCUGACCCAGCUUACGUUGCUAUCCAGGUGGAGGAAGGAUCCGCCAAACCUGGCAGAGAUUUCACUCACAGCACAGCCGCUCUGAUCCAGUUUGACCCAGGAGUCAAUGUGAAAACCUGGAACAUUUACCUGAUCGCUGACGGCCUGGAGGAAAAUCAUGAGACCUUCACUGUCACACUGAAAAAUCCGAAAAAUGCUGUCCUGGGACAGAGGACCUCGGCGAGCAUCGAGAUCAUCGACCCCAGAGGAGGAAGGUGUGAUCCCGACGACUUGAAGGUGGAGGAGGACGAGAAGCGACCUCCUCCUCUUCCUCCUCAUCUCCCUGACCCCCCCAGGCAGGAGGAGGAAGAGGACCCUGUCACUGACAUUGAGGCAGAGCUACUGUGGGAGAACCAGCCUCACCCUCCCCGAGGUGACGUACCCAACCGACGGCAUUUCCUGGACUAUGGGGAGGGAGAACCACAGGACCAGGCGGCUCCUGGCUACACCCACUCCCACUCCCACAGGCAGCUGCCGGGAGCAGGGACCGUGAGCUCUGGAAGCUCUGCACACAGAGUCCGACAUAGAGGAUUACAGGUCCAUCUGUCAGGAGAAAGGAGGUCAGAGGAAAAAGUCUGGACAUUCCACAGUCUGACCCCUCUCCGGCUGGAGGAGAUGAAGCCAGGUGAUGCUGGGUGGAGUCAGUGGUCUCACAGUCGCCUCCUGCAGGAGCUUCCCGUCAGUGACCCUCCUCAGAUGGAUCAUCCAGAGUCCAGACACCAGCCGGAGCUACGCCAGCGCAAAACAGGGAAGUCCGUCACCAGCUCAUGUCCUGAUGGUUGGACUCACUACAGGAGACGUUGCUACAUCCUCAGCUUGUCUGUAGCCAGCUGGGGGAGCGCAGAGAGGACCUGCUCACUGCUGUUUAACAGCAGCCUGACCAGCGUGCGCUCCAGGAGAGACAUGACCUGGCUGUGGAAGUUUGCAGGGAGGAAGCCAUUUUGGAUUGGUCUGUCUGGAGGUCCUGGCCGCUGGACGUGGGCUGACGGCCGGUCAGUGUCUUUCUCUAGGCUGAGGGGGGCGCCGUCUUUCCGUGGUGAGCCAGACGUCGGCUCUGACUGUGUGCUGGUUGAAAACCCCAGAAGCUGGAUCUCCACGAGCUGCUCACCUGAAACUCAGCACACGUUCAUCUGUUCCUCUCCGGCUCACACUCACUGAGACACACUCUUCAUAUUCACUGCUACCAGUCCUUACAACCUCUGUGAACAUGUUACACUCAUAUUUAAUGACACGCAACAAUGCUGCUCUGUACAUUAGUUUAUAUUUUUGUCAUAAUAAAGAUUGAUGCACAAAUCA